rnacentral:rRNA from 1 species
AGAAUCAACGCUGGCGGCGUGCCUCAGACAUGCAAGUCGAACGCGAAAGUUCCCUUCGGGGGGCAAGUAGAGUGGCGCACGGGUGAGUAACACGUAGGUAAUCUACCUUUGGAUGGGGAAUAACAACCGGAAACGGUUGCUAAUACCGCAUAAUGCAGCGGCACCUAAUGGUGACAGUUGUUAAAGCGGGGGAUCGAAAGACCUCGCGUCUGAAGAGGAGCCUGCGGCGGAUUAGCUAGUUGGUAAGGUAACGGCUUACCAAGGCGACGAUCCGUA